rnacentral:lncRNA from 1 species
CCUGACCUCAGGUGAUCUGCCCACCUCGGCCUCCCAAAGUUCUGGGAUUACAGGCGUGAGCACCGUACCUGGCCAAAGUGCUGUAGUUUUAACUACAUCUGGAAGUGUUAUACCCAAAUAGUUGUCUCAGAGAGAUUAUAAGAAUAAACACACCAUGUGGCCAUGUGGACCCUCUCUGAGGGUGUUUCCGAAGCCAAGUUCCAGUCCCAAAGUCUGCUAUUGCUUCAACAUGCAGACCAAGCAGAGAGUCACAUGAUGAUAGCAGGAAAAUUGUUUGAACCUGGGAGGUGGAGGUUGCAGUUGCCGAGAUCACACUACUACACUCCAGCCUGGGUGACGGAGUGAGACUCUGUCUCAAAACAAAACAAAAUAGAAAAGGCCAUUUAAAACACUUUCUACUAUCAAGAGCCUUCCUAGACAUGCGGAGAUCUGCUGUGACAAUUGUCCUGUGUUGGACACGGUUAGGGACUCUGAGACUAAGAAAGGGCUCGGGAGUGGUGACCUCAGCAUGAGUGCAGGACUGGUGGGACGUCUUAUCUUCUCAGGGCUGGGUCUGGGGAUUAGUGGUAGAGAACAGGGCACUGUAUCCCUCCCUGUCUUGGCUGAGUGGGAACCGCUGCCCGGAGCUCACAUAGCCGAGGCUGGGCCUGGGAGAGGAACAUGAAGCAUCUGUGAGCUGGGAUGAGAUCUGUCCAUCCCAGAAAGUAUAGGACUAUUUAUUGGAAAGGAAAUAUUCUACCUUUGGUAACGGAACAGGCAGUCAGCAGAUAAUUUUCAAAGUAAAGUAGUAAAAUUUCUGAAAAAGAGUGAGUCACUGAAACACUUCCUUUCUAUUAACAGAGUCUAAUAUGUAAAAUCAUUUUAAAGAUUCAUUUUAUAAUUUUGUGUUUAGAUCAUUUUGUUGGAGUUUUGAUAGACUUGAGUCAUAUAUACCUUGCAUAGAACAACCAAAAAUCAGAAUCAUUUCAGUGAUGCUUCAAAUCUGAUUCUGAUUUAGUUGCAAAAAUGAAAACACCAGGCAUAAGCAUUCAAAGCCCAGUUUCUUUUCCUAAUUCUUUAAUAUGUAGAACUUUGGCGAGGCCAGAAGGAUCUCUUCUCUAAGGUACUUAACUAAGGAGAUAAGAUAGAUGGAGAUACAUAAUAUAUGGCUGGGCCCCGUGACUCAUGCCUGUAAUCCCAGCACUUUGGGAGGCCAACGUGGGUGGAUCACCUGAGGUCAGGAGUUCGAGACCAGCCUGGCCAACAUGGUGAAACUUUGUCUCUACUAAAAAUACAAAAAUUCGCUGGGUGUGGUGGUGGGCACCUGUAAUCCCAGCUACUCGGGAGGCUAAGGCAGAAGAAUCGCUUGAACCUGGGAGGCAGGGGUUGCAGUGAGCCAAGAUCGUGCCACUGCACUCCAGCCUAGGUGACAGAGUGAGACUUGUUCUCAAAAAAAAAAAAGAUAUAUAUAUACAUAUAUAAUAUGUAAUCUUAUAUAUAUAUAAUAUAUAAUCUUAUAUAUAAUAUAUAAGAUUAUAUAUACAUAUAUAAUAUAUAUGUAUAUAUUAUGUAUAUAAUACAUACAUAUGUAUAUGUAUGUAUACAUGUAAUAUAUACAGAGACAGAGACCACAUAUCUCUCAGUAUUUUAGAGAAAGUAUAAGCAAUAUCAUAUAUAUACACACACACACACAUAUAUAUAUAUUUUUUUGCAGAUGAACUUAACUCACUAGCAACUCCCAAAUUUCUAGAAAAUAUUAUGGAAACUAAUUAGUAGUGCUCAUUAUUUUGCUAAUAUUGUCAUGUCUGUGGCAUGCUAUGGAAUAAAUAUAUUAAUACAAAUUAAAUAUAUAUGACUAAACUAGCAACCUUGUCUGUUUUCAUCACUUUUCAGAAAUACAUAAACAUAAAGCUAUAUUCCUCAUUGAAAGCAAAAGUCCCCAUUAUAUAUGAAUAACUAUGCUUUUUUUUGUUUUCCCUAUGUCAAACUGAUUAUUGUUGUGGAAAUCACUGGUUUUGAGGAUAUAGGAACUAGGCUAUUCCUGUCAUUUUGAAGAAACUAUUAUUUUAUUUAGUGUUUUUGGAGUAUUGUGUACUUUGCAAAUAUUUUAAAUUAGAGACAUAUAAAGUCCAAAAACAUACAUAUAUUAGACCUUCUAUUACUGUUGUAAUAAACCAUCUAAUAAUACUGACAUAGAACAUAUUACCAUGGUAAUAGCCCCAUAUACAAUUUACAUGAUUAUCCCUAUGUCACUGAUCAGCAGUUCAAACACAGAACAGUUGACUCAAUGUCUAGGUCAUUUUAUCAUCUUGUAAUGCCCUUUGAACCCCCUUAGCUCCUUACAGAAGAGUUCCUCUGGCUCCCAGCAAUGAACUGAGGAAUGAAUAUACAGUCAUAAAGCUAAAGGUUCUUAAAGCUAGAAGGACUCUCAGAGGUUUUAUAACCCAAGUCAACAAUUACUCAGCACGCAUACCACUAGUUCCUGAUCCUAAGCCAGUGCCAGACAGCAGUAAUCAAUUUCAGACUUUUGUUUUCAACUCUUUUUCAAUAAAGAUCAUACCAGAUAGUCCACUACCUAUAAGUGGUAAUAGAUGCAUGAAUAGAAUCUUCUUUGCUCUCCCAGCUAAUCUAAGUCCCUUUCUUGUUAAUAAGAAACAAAGACUCAGAGAGUAUAGGUAUCAGAUAUACUUUUUUAAAAAUUAAAAAAACAGUUAAGAGUCAGUCUCAUUACUUUAUGGCCUCAUUUUAUUUUUUAGUGCCUGUGAAAUGUAAUAAGAGGGACCUCAAGGGGUCUGUAAUCUAGUUUUGAGAAAGAAAAGAUCAACAUGCUUGAUAUUUAUAUAGAUUCAUCAAGUGUUAAUCUAUGUUGCUGACAUAGAUCAGAGGGGGCUGAAACAGGCAGAGGAGAAUUUAUGGAGGUAAUAGAGUUUGAUUUAAGCUUUAGGCUCAUUUGUUCCCUUGACAAACAAGGACAACAUUUUACUAACUCUCUGGGUCAUAAAUGGCUCAGCAAUUCAACAAAUGUAUUCACCCUACUGUGCAAUGUGAUAGGUACUAUGGGCACAGAGAAGAGCAACACAAACGUCCUUCCCUUAGGGUUCCUGAAUUGGUGAGGGAGGCAGAAACAUCAGAAUAUAGGGUAAUAAUAUCACACAGCAGCGGGAGAGGAUAGUGGUUAGAAGCAGAGGCUCUAGAGCCAGACUUCCAGGGUUUGAAUCCCGGCUCUGCCCUCGACCUUGGGCAAGUUUCUUAAUUCUCUGUGCCUCUGUUUCCUGAAAAUAUGCUUGAUGGAAAGAUUAAAUCAUUU